UACGUAGGGUGCAAGCGUUAAUCGGAAUUACUGGGCGUAAAGCGUGCGCAGGCGGUUUUGUAAGACAGGCGUGAAAUCCCCGGGCUCAACCUGGGAAUGGCGCUUGUGACUGCAAAGCUGGAGUGCGGCAGAGGGGGAUGGAAUUCCGCGUGUAGCAGUGAAAUGCGUAGAUAUGCGGAGGGACACCGAUGGCGAAGGCAAUCCCCUGGGCCUGCACUGACGCUCAUGCACGAAAGAGUGGGGAGCAAACAGG
rnacentral:rRNA from 1 species